rnacentral:rRNA from 1 species
AUUGAACGCUGGCGGCAUGCUUUACACAUGCAAGUCGAACGGCAGCGCGGGCUUCGGCCUGGCGGCGAGUGGCGAACGGGUGGGUAAUGCAUCGGAACGUGCCCAGUAGUGGGGGAUAGCCCGGCGAAAGCCGGAUUAAUACCGCAUACGACCUGAGGGUGAAAGCGGGGGACCGAAAGGCCUCGCGCUAUUGGAGCGGCCGAUGUCGGAUUAGCUAGUUGGUGGGGUAAAGGCUUACCAAGGCGACGAUCCGUAGCUGGUCUGAGAGGACGACCAGCCACACUGGGACUGAGACACGGCCCAGACUCCUACGGGAGGCAGCAGUGGGGAAUUUUGGACAAAGGGGGCAACCCUGAUCCAGCCAUGCCGCGUGCGGGAAGAAGGCCUUCGGGUUGUAAACCGCUUUUGUUCGGGAAGAAAUCCUCUGGGCUAAUACCCCGGGGGGAUGACGGUACCGGAAGAAUAAGCACCGGCUAACUACGUG